GUUAGCUUUGCGACAGUAUCAAAAAUAAAUUUCGGAUUGUUCUUAUUUUCCUCAAUUUAGUUGGAAAAAUAGGAUGAUCGAGCAGCAGUGAGGGCUGGGUCACUGUCUUCCACCACAAGACAGUGACCCAGCUACUCCUCAGUAUUGGGACUCCUCACUAUUGGGGUUCUGGGGCCUCUCUGGUGGCAUUGAGAAGAGUGUGAGCACUGUUUGGUUUCUGCUGCUCUCUAUCAGCACAGGGGUGUUGUACAGCAUACUGGGUCUGCUACUGUUUGGUGGAGGGGUUCAUGCCAGUAUCCUUCUCCUGUAUGUGUAUGGCCACAGUGCACUCAUCGCAGGGGAGAUCUGUAUCCUUAUUCCAACCUCAUUGCGGUUCAAAAUAAAUGUGAUACGCUCCUCUGCAGUAUGUCACAGCUUUAGAAGUGUGCUUAGUAGUGUAGUUAAGUGUUAUUGGGUUAUAGGUCUUGUAUAUGAGUCAGACGGAAAGGGCUUGCUCUGACUUCUGAACAUGUCCGAUGCCAGGGCACCAGUGCUGGAUAAGAAGAUGCCUUUCAGGCUGCUGAGGAACAUUGGUGUCCUGUAUGUACCCGGCAUCAAUAGAGACGAGAAGGAAGACGGUCCACCCACCAAUAAUUCCAACACCAGGCUCCUGCCCAGAUCAAGCCUACGCUCCAGUGUCCUCUACCUCCAACCUACAGGCUACCGAGACCACACCAAAGACAUUUGAAGGCUGGGCCCACUCCUACUAUAAACAGGGGAGCCUUGUUCAGCUCUCAAGUUAUUACGGACACAACCAUGGGGGGCUUGAGGCCAAGUCACGGACAUGGUCACAAGCAUGGACACAGCUGCAGCCACGGUCAUGGACAUAGUCACAAACACAGCUUUGGCCAUGGACUCAGUCAUGGGCAUGCAUCUGCCUCUCAAACCAGCAGUCACUGGGCUCCAGUGGCUCAACAUCCACAUUUUCAACAUUCCCACCCUAGUCCACUGUCUGUCUGUCAGUGUCCCCCAGAGGUUCACAGUAAACAUGCCGGAAUCACUAACAGAAUCUGUGACGGUUCAUCCAGGAGCACCUGUGUCUUCACUGACAGAUUGAUGACUUCAGUAACACCAAAACUUGCUAUAGCUCGAUUGAAAUUCAAAGGCAAUGUUCUCAAAGAUUGGAAAUUACCUUUACAUUUCAAGUGCGCUAUUUUCAGCAAUCACAAUCCUUGUAAAAACGUCAACUUAUGGUAUAACUAAUAAAGUUUUUUUAAAUGAUGUCAGUGUGGUUAUAAGCCGCUAUAGCUCUGAACAUCGGUGAUACAGAUUUAAUCGAGCCCAUAGUUUUCAUUCAAUGUGUUUUCUGUCUCAUGUUAUACAUUGAGAUGCAAUAUGCUUGGACAAGUGAUUUGAGGCAGUACUUGAAGGUCCACUUUUUCUUCACAGAUGUUUUUGGUUUGAAUACACAAGCAGGCUCUGAAUGUUCAAGGUCAAAUCAAUGCAAGAAAGCUUUGAUUGUCAGUUGAUUGUAAGACCUCCUUUUGGCUUGUGUGUUUUGUACUUUGUGUUUUUUUACCCAUACAGUAGUCAAAUCUCUUGGUACUCUUGAUUUAUACAACCUAGAUUAAAACAACAUUUUUCAAAACCCUUAGUAAAUGGACCAACCAGAACCUCAAGACUGCCAUGGGCAAGUCCCUUGAUUGGUAUCAGGAAGGGUGGGAGAACAACCUGAAGGUAAUUCUCUUUGCACACAACAGCAGCAUCCAGGCUGAGUAUGGACGGGAGCCGCAGCUGUUGACUGAGGUAAACAAUGGAAUUGUAUAUACAAUUAUUGCAUAUACUGUAGUCUUUCAAAAUUGGGAUUGACUUAGUGUUUGUCUAUUGCUAUUUUUGCAUAACGUACUUUCAGAUCACUGAAACCCCACCUGAUGUGGUGGAAGUUGUCGAACCAGAUCAGAACACCUUUGAGUACUACCUUCAGGCACAGACUGAGAAGGACGUGGAGGUUUUUGACCAGGUAAAAAUGAUUGUCCUCUGUUCAUUUAUUUUCUGUCCCUCCAAGAGAUAUGUAAGAAAUGUAUUUGUAAUAUGAAAUAUAAUUGCAUGUAUUCCUGUCAUCAAUCAAGGUGAGACAGAACAUGGACAAGGCGCAGGAGAAACAGAAGGAGAGCUACCGGAGUGUUUACGUCUCUGUCUCCUACCCUGUUCCCUUUAACUCUGCUCCUGUUCUGCAGGAGCUAGGGGUCCUGCCCAACACCAAGACGUGGAUCCACCUGAUGUUCUCCAUUACCAACCACCCUACAACUUUUCAUUACAUCAUCUACAGCUACUGUUGUCAUGUUAUCAUUAUCUGCUAAGAAAGUUCUUGCUCUCUCAUACUGGCCCUCUUCACUUCCCUUUGGCCAAAGAAGACCUAAGAGCCCAAUGCCAGACACUGCCCUGCGGCCGGUGCUGUCCUUCGGAUGAGACUGUGCACACAGAGGUCCUAUCUCUCUGUGGUCACUAAACAUCUCAUGGCACUUAUGACAUGAGUAGGGGUGUUGACCCUGCAUCUCCUGGCUAUAUUUCCAAGCCUGAUAACUACACGCUAUGUAAAUCCAACCCAUUAUCAUACGCUACCCUAGUAGGCUGUAUGGGAACCAAUAUAAUUAUUGGGUCUUUUUAAUUUUUUAAAGAAUGGUGCAUGUCUCAAAAUAUAACAAUGAGACCAAUAUCAAUAGUAUGUGUGUGUGUGUUGUAGUAGUAGUUGGCC